AAAUCCUGAAUUGGGAGGCCGACUCCAGUUCCAGGUCUGUCUCCAACGUCCUGAGUGGCUUGGGAACACGACUUUUCUCUGAACCUCAGCGUCCUCAUGCAUGAUACGGGGAUAAGAACACCUAUGCUACUGGGUAACUGUGCGUCUGAGUGAGAUAAGGAAUGGGAAGCGUCUUUCACUGUGCCAAGCUCGUCAUAAUUAUUCGACAGAGAGAAAGAGGCAGAGACACAGGCAGAGGGAGAAGCAGGCUCCAUGCAGGGAGCCCAUCGCGGGACUCCAUCCCAGGACCCCGGAAUCACAACCUGAGCCAAAGGCAGAUGCUCAACCACUGAGCCAUCCAGGUGCCCUUGAGUCUUCCAGUCUUGAGAGUGUUAGCCAAGACUGACCAAGCAGCUGUUGAGAACUGGCUACCAUGGUAGAGAAGUGGAGCAUAGGAAGAAGUAAAGAAGAAGAAAACAUGAAGGAAAUUAUAUACGUAUGUGUUCAAAACCAACAUGUUGGGUGUAAGGACGCGAUGAACGAUGAAUCAAAGACAGCGUGUCCUCACACACCGUUUCAAAUUCUCAGUGCCGCCUUGUUGGCACUUGGGAACAGUGGAAGAGUGGCAGCGACCUACAGAAGAGGUGGUUUGACGAAUGAUUGUUCCCAUGGGAGAUUAAAGGCUCAUCCUUUUCCACAUUGUCCCCAGGUCAAUAAGUAAUGGUCCUCUGGCUAUGUCAUCACGCUUUUGAUCUUUCUCUCUCUCUCUCUCUCUCUCUCUCUCUCUCUCUCUCUGUCUCUCUGAGUGUUACUUCCCUUAACUGAUCUAUGAAUGGCACUCAUGUUCUUAAUCUGUUUGGUUCACCCCCCCCCCCCCGGGAGAUUACACGAGAGAAAGAGAGACUCUUCCCAGCCAUAGAUGGUAAAGCAAUAAACAGCCAAAGGAAGCUCCAUGAAGGUGCCAAUUAGCAGGCAUACACCCAAACAAGGAGCUCAAGAUCAGGCAAGCAAUUAGUUGAGGCUUGGAUCACUCUGUAACCCACUAAAUGGUCUUACCUUAGUUACAGAUCAUGAAGUUCAAAACCCUGAGUCCUUUUCAUCUCCUUGCAGCACUGCGACUACACAUCUCAGGCUCGUUUGUCUCUGCUCCUUCCUGCUCUCUCUGGAGCUGUCAGCACCUACCGCCAUGGAGAUGAGAAACCCCACAGGAGAAUCUCGCUCUUCUUUGCCUUUUCCGGACACAUUCACCAACACACAAAGGCCAGUGAGUUCUCAGCUUCACUCUAGUGAAUCAACACUUUCUUUAACUGGUUCCCAUGCCUACACGUAGUAGACAGUCUUGCCAAUGGUGGCUUUACAGAAAACAAGCAUCGAGAAGAAAUUAGCCUUCCUCCCUGCCCAUCUACAUCUUUGUCUUUCGAUCAGACCUUUGGGGGCUUCCCAGAUCAUAGAAUGGACCCAGAUUGCUCCUAACCUUCUUACUGUCCCAGAAGGCUGGAUUUUUCUCUAACCAACACCUCCAGGACUCAUACAGCCUCUUCCACGUGUGUACUUCGUAGGUGCUAUCUUGUUGCCAUAAAGAUUUUUCUGUGUAAACACACGCCCAAUGUAAUCCUAAACCUAAGGCAAACCGCUUCUUGCCCAACAUGAUCUCAUUCGGGUUCCAAAGAAUUGUGUGCCCCUAGAUGACCACUAACAACCUCAGUAAUGCUUCCAAGGACAAAGCUUACAUCUCUUUCUGAGAAACAGGUUUUGUUUUCUGGCUUGUUUGCUUGCUUCUUAGAGGAAGCAAGCAAACUUGCUUGCUUGACUUAGAGGUCAAGGACAAAGGAGGGAUUACGUUUCUUCCUAUUGCUCAUUUUCACCUAUUGAGAAGUCUUAUAAUUUGCAAUGAACUUAGUCAUGAAAAUGUGGACAUUUUUAAGAAAUUGCCGAAUGUGGGAUCCCUGGGUGGCGCAGUGGUUUGGCGCCUGCCUUUGGCCCAGGGCGCGAUCCUGGAGACCCGGGAUCGAGUCCCACGUCGGGCUCCCGGUGCAUGGAGCCUGCUUCUCCCUCUGCCUGUGUCUCUGCCUCUCUCUCUCUCACUGUGUGCCUAUCAUAAAUAAAUAAAAAUUUAAAAAAAAAAAAAGAAAUUGCCGAAUGUACCGAGAUGGUAAAUGGUGCCAUUUACGAGAUGAUGGAGCUGGGAGAGAAGGGAUUUUGAAGUUGAGGUAUUCUUAUGCUAACUGGGUGUCCUCUCUGACAACUAAAUGAAAAUGUCAGGUGGAUGAUACAUUACGUCCAGAAUUAGAAGUUAUCAGUACAUAUGUAGUAUUUAAAGCCACGAAUGUGAGUGAGACCAGACAGGCAGUAAGAAUAGUUAGAAAAGAAUGGGAUUCCAGUGCUCAAGCUCUGGGGGCAACCCUGUCUGAGGUUGGGAAGAUGAGGGAGGUCCUACAAAAGGGAUCUAGAAGGUGAGCUGUUUGAAGUAGAAAGAAAAGCUCGAGAUGUGGUACGAAAUGAAACAAGUGCGAUAGGAAAAAGGGAGUUAUCUGUGUCACAGAUUAAUGAUGGGUCAGGGUAAGAACUAAGACUUGACCCUUGGUUGUGGCAAUGUGAUGUCAUUGGUGACUGAUGGAAGAUGCCUCAAUAGCGUUCUGGAGUCAGAUGCUUGAUGAGACUAGAAGCAAGUGGGAACAGGGUGGGAGGGAGUGGAGACUGUCUGUUGAGAGUUCUGCUCUCAAAUGUUGUAGAAAAAAAUGCUGGAUGGAUGGGAAGGGAUAUAGGCAGCAGCAAGGAUUUAUUUUUCAGGGAGAGAUUUUUUGCUUUCUUUGAUUUUAACAUGGCAGAUGUUCUCAUUUGUCGUAUA